ACUGUCGUCAGCUCGCGAGAGAAGGUGUUGGGUUAAGUCCUACAACGAGCGCAAGCAUCGUGUUUAAUUGCCAAUGUUGAGUUUGGAACCCUGAACAGAUUGUCGCUGAUGAGCCGGAGGAAGGUUAAAAUGAUGUAAAGUCAU
rnacentral:ncRNA from 1 species